AAACUUUCAACAACGGAUCUCUUGGUUCCGGCAUCGAUGAAGAACGCAGCGAAAUGCGAUAAUUAAUGUGAAUUGCAGAAUUCAGUGAAUCAUCGAGUCUUUGAACGCACAUUGCGCCCUCUGGUAUUCCGGAGGGCAUGCCUGUCCGAGCGUCAUUG
rnacentral:rRNA from 4 species